GCCCCUGUGGCGGAACUGGUAGACGCGACAGACUCAAAAUCUGUUGCCUGUAUGGGCGUGGGAGUUCGAGUCUCCCCGGGGGCACCA
rnacentral:tRNA from 1 species